rnacentral:rRNA from 1 species
UACGGGGGGCAAGGCGUUGUUCGGAAUUACUGGCGUAAAGAGCUCGUAGGCGGUUUGUCGCGUCUGCCGUGAAAGUCCGGGGCUUCAAACUCCGGAUACUGCGGUGGGUACGGGCAGACUAGAGUGGAUGUAGGGGAGACUGGAAUUCCUGGUGUAGCGGUAGAAAUGCGCAGAUAUCAGGAGGAACACCGAUGGCGAAGGCAGGUCUGCUGGGCAUUAACUGGACGCUGAGGAGCGAAAGAGCAUGGGGAGCGAACAGG